ACUCAAAUGAAUAGACGGGGGCUCACACAAGCGGUGGAGUAUGUGGAUUAAUUCGAAGCAACGCGAAGAACCUUACCUGGGUUUGACAUGCAUGGAUACCGUCCAUGAAAGUGGAGCCGGUUGCCUUCGGGUGAAAUAUGCACAGGUGCUGCAUGGCUGUCGUCAGCUCGUGCUGUGAAGUGUCAGGUUAAGUCCUUUAACGAGCGAAACCCCUGUCGUUAGUUGCCAGCGAGUCAUGUCGGGAACUCUAACGAGACUGCCGGCGUUAAGCCGGAGGAAGGUGGGGACGACGUCAAGUCAUCAUGGCCCUUAUGCCCAGGGUAUCACACGUACUACAAUGCCCGGUACAAAGCGAGGCGAGACCGUGAGGUGGAGCAAAUCGCAGAAAACCGGGCCCAGUUCAGAUUGGAGUCUGCAACCCGACUCCAUGAAGUUGGAAUCGCUAGUAAUCGCGCAUCAGCCAUGGCGCGGUGAAUGUGUUCCUGAGCCUUGUACACACCGCCCGU
rnacentral:rRNA from 1 species